UUGUAUGUUGUAGAACUUGCUAUCUUACUGCAUUGCAUAUUCAAAAUUGAUAGCUUGCACUUCUCAGAAGAGAAGAAAGAGUUGCUAUCUUGAACCUCUUAAAAUUUGCUAGCUUUUAUGAUGUAGAACUUGCUAUCUUGAAUAUCACCAAGACUUACUAACUUGCAUGAUGAUAAAACUGAAGAUUAUAUUAUAAUGAUUUGAAAUGUUAUAUCUCAAACAUAUGAUAGUUAGAACUUCUCCUUUUUAUUAAUGACAAAAGGGGAGAAGUAUGUUGAUGUCAUGCAUGAUUUGAUCAUGACAUGUUGCUUGGAUUUUUGAAUCCAAGAGUUAUAUGCCA
rnacentral:lncRNA from 1 species